rnacentral:rRNA from 1 species
GACGAACGCUGGCGGCGUGCCUAAUACAUGCAAGUUGAGCGAUGAAGAUUGGUGCUUGCACCAAUUUGAAGAGCAGCGAACGGGUGAGUAACGCGUGGGGAAUCUGCCUUUGAGCGGGGGACAACAUUUGGAAACGAAUGCUAAUACCGCAUAACAACUUUAAACAUAAGUUUUAAGUUUGAAAGAUGCAAUUGCAUCACUCAAAGAUGAUCCCGCGUUGUAUUAGCUAGUUGGUGAGGUAAAGGCUCACCAAGGCGAUGAUACAUAGCCGACCUGAGAGGGUGAUCGGCCACAAUGGGACUGAGACACGGCCCAAACUCCUACGGGAGGCAGCAGUAGGGAAUCUUCGGCAAUGGACGAAAGUCUGACCGAGCAACGCCGCGUGAGUGAAGAAGGGUUUCGGAUCGUAAAACUCUGUUGGUAGAGAAGAACGUUGGUGAGAGUGGAAAGCUCAUCAAGUGACGGUAACUACACAGAAAGGGACGGCUAACUACGUG